UACGUAGGUGGCGAGCGUUAUCCGGAUUUACUGGGUGUAAAGGGCGUGUAGGCGGGUUUGCAAGUCGGGUGUGAAAGAUCCAGGCUUAACUUGGAGAGGUCAUCCGAAACUGCGGAUCUUGAGUGCUGGAGAAGAUAGUGGAAUUCCUGGUGUAGCGGUAAAAUGCGUAGAUAUCAGGAGGAACACCAGUGGCGAAGGCGGCUAUCUGGACAGUAACUGACGCUGAGGCGCGAAAGCGUGGGGAGCAAACAGGAUUAGAUA
rnacentral:rRNA from 1 species